UACAGAGGGUGCAAGCGUUAAUCGGACUUACUGGGCGUAAAGCGCGCGCAGGCGGCAAGGUAAGUAAGGUGUGAAAUCUGUCGGCUCAACCCGGGAGGGUGCACUUUAGACUGCUUUGCUUGAGGUCGGUAGAGGGGGGUGGAAUUGCUGGUGUAGCGGUGAAAUGCGUAGAGAUCAGCAGGAACACCCGUGGCGAAGGCGGCCCCCCUGGGCCGUACCUGACGCUGAGGCGCGAAGGCUAGGGGAGCGAACGGG
rnacentral:rRNA from 1 species